rnacentral:rRNA from 1 species
ACCUGAAGUAAGGAACAACAGGGAUUGCCUCAGUAACGGCGAGUGAAGCGGCAAAAGCUCAGAUUUGAAAUCUGGCGUCUUCGGCGUCCGAGUUGUAAUCUGUAGAGGAUGCCUUUGGGUGGCCACCGGUCUAAGUCCCCUGGAACGGGGUGUCACAGAGGGUGAGAAUCCCGUAUGUGACCGGGAAGGCGCCCUAUACAUGGCUCCUUCGACGAGUCGAGUUGUUUGGGAAUGCAGCUCUAAAUGGGAGGUAAAUUCCUUCUAAAGCUAAAUACCGGCCAGAGACCGAUAGCGCACAAGUAGAGUGAUCGAAAGAUGAAAAGCACUUUGGAAAGAGAGUUAAAAAGCACGUGAAAUUGUUGAAAGGGAAGCGCUUGCAACCAGACUUGUUGGCGGUGUUCCGCCGGUCUUCUGACCGGUCUACUCACCGUCUGCAGGCCAGCAUCAUCUGGGGCCGCUGGAUAAAAGCGGAGGGAAUGUGGCUCCUCCGGGAGUGUUAUAGCCCUCUGUGUAAUACAGCGAGUCCCGGGUGAGGUCCGCGCUUCGGCUAGGAUGCUGGCGUAAUGGUCGUAAGCGGCCCGUCUUGAAACACGGACCAAGGAGUCUAACAUCUAUGCGAGGGUUUGGGUGA